rnacentral:rRNA from 1 species
CCUACGGGGGGCAGCAGUGGGGAAUAUUGGGCAAUGGACGCAAGUCUGACCCAGCAACGCCGCGUGAAGGAAGAAGGCUUUCGGGUUGUAAACUUCUUUUAAGGGGGAAGAGCAGAAGACGGUACCCCUUGAAUAAGCCACGGCUAACUACGUGCCAGCAGCCGCGGUAAUACGUAGGUGGCAAGCGUUGUCCGGAUUUACUGGGUGUAAAGGGCGUGCAGCCGGGAAGACAAGUCAGAUGUGAAAUCCCGCGGCUCAACCGCGGAACUGCAUUUGAAACUGUUUUUCUUGAGUAUCGGAGAGGUAAUCGGAAUUCCUAGUGUAGCGAUGAAAUGCGUAGAUAUUAGGAGGAACACCAGUGGCGAAGGCGGCCUGCUGGGCUUUUACUGACGCUGAGGCUCGAAAGCGUGGGUAGCAAACAGGAUUAGAUACCCGGGUAGUC